GAUGAACGCUGGCGGCGUGCCUAAUACAUGCAAGUAGAACGCUGAAGGAGGAGCUUGCUCUUCUGGAUGAGUUGCGAACGGGUGAGUAACGCGUAGGUAACCUGCCUGGUAGCGGGGGAUAACUAUUGGAAACGAUAGCUAAUACCGCAUGACAACAGUUAUUGCAUGAUAACUGUUUAAAAGGGGCAACUGCUCCACUACCAGAUGGACCUGCGUUGUAUUAGCUAGUUGGUGAGGUAACGGCUCACCAAGGCGACGAUACAUAGCCGACCUGAGAGGGGGAUCGGCCACACUGGGACGGAGACACGGCCCAGACGCCUACGGGAGGCAGCAGUAGGGAAGCUUCGGCAAGGGACGGAAGGCUGACCGAGCAACGCCGCGGGAGUGAAGAAGGGUGUCGGAUCGUAAAGCUCGGUUGUAAGAGAAGAACGAGUGUGAGAGUGGAAAGUUCACACUGUGACGGCAGCUGACCAGAAAGGGACGGCUAACUACGUG
rnacentral:rRNA from 1 species